UACGUAGGGUGCAAGCGUUAAUCGGAAUUACUGGGCGUAAAGCGUGCGCAGGCGGUUGUGUAAGACAGAUGUGAAAUCCCCGGGCUCAACCUGGGAAUUGCAUUUGAGACUGCACGGCUAGAGUGUGUCAGAGGGGGGUAGAAUUCCACGUGUAGCAGUGAAAUGCGUAGAUAUGUGGAGGAAUACCGAUGGCGAAGGCAGCCCCCUGGGAUAACACUGACGCUCAUGCACGAAAGCGUGGGGAGCAAACAGG
rnacentral:rRNA from 1 species